ACAGCCAUAUAGCCUUGAAACACCGGUUCUCAUACAUUCACCAAAGUUAAGCAACAUUGAGCCUGGUCAAUACCUAGAUGGGUGUCUGUGAAUACCAGGUGCUGUAAG